UCUCUUUCUCUGCAGUGGUUCUGGUCCCGGUCACUUCCCUCUGGGUGAGAUCCAGCUCACCAUCAGACACUCGUCCCAGAGGAACAAACUCAUCGUGGUGGUGCACGGCUGCAGAAACCUGAUAGCGUUCACGGACCACGGCUCGGAUCCGUACGUCCGCCUCUACCUGCUUCCCGACAAACGGAGGUCAGGGAGGAGGAAAACUCACACCUUCAAGAAGACCCUCAACCCCGUUUACGACCAGACCUAUGAGUUCAGUGUGUCUCUCGUGGAGCUCCACAGACGCACUCUGGACAUCGCGGUGAAGAACGGAGGAGGACUGCUCUCCAAACACAAAGGCCUUCUGGGAA